rnacentral:rRNA from 1 species
ACAUGCAAGUCGAACGGUGAAGGUCAGCUUGCUGACCGGAUCAGUGGCGAACGGGUGAGUAACACGUGAGCAACCUACCCUUCACUCUGGGAUAAGCCUUGGAAACGAGGUCUAAUACCGGAUAUGAGACGCACGGGCAUCUGUAGCGUCUGGAAAGAUUUAUCGGUGGAGGAUGGGCUCGCGGCCUAUCAGCUUGUUGGUGGGGUAACGGCCCACCAAGGCGACGACGGGUAGCCGGCCUGAGAGGGCGACCGGCCACACUGGGACUGAGACACGGCCCAGACUCCUACGGGAGGCAGCAGUGGGGAAUAUUGCACAAUGGGCGAAAGCCUGAUGCAGCGACGCCGCGUGCGGGAUGACGGCCUUCGGGUUGUAAACCGCUUUCAGCAGGGAAGAAGCGAAAGUGACGGUACCUGCAGAAGAAGCGCCGGCUAACUACGUGCCAGCAGCCGCGGUAAUACGUAGGGCGCAAGCGUUGUCCGGAAUUAUUGGGCGUAAAGAGCUCGUAGGCGGUUUGUCGCGUCUGCUGUGAAAACCUCAGGCUCAACCUGGGGCUUGCAGUGGGUACGGGCAGACUAGAGUGCGGUAGGGGUGACUGGAAUUCCUGGUGUAGCGGUGGAAUGCGCAGAUAUCAGGAGGAACACCGAUGGCGAAGGCAGGUCACUGGGCCGCAACUGACGCUGAGGAGCGAAAGCAUGGGGAGCGAACAGGAUUAGAUACCCUGGUAGUCCAUGCCGUAAACGUUGGGCACUAGGUGUGGGGUCCAUUCCACGGAUUCCGUGCCGCAGCAAACGCAUUAAGUGCCCCGCCUGGGGAGUACGGCCGCAAGGCUAAAACUCAAAGAAAUUGACGGGGGCCCGCACAAGCGGCGGAGCAUGCGGAUUAAUUCGAUGCAACGCGAAGAACCUUACCAAGGCUUGACAUACACCGGAAACGUGCAGAGAUGUGCGCCUCCGCAAGGUCGGUGUACAGGUGGUGCAUGGUUGUCGUCAGCUCGUGUCGUGAGAUGUUGGGUUAAGUCCCGCAACGAGCGCAACCCU